rnacentral:rRNA from 1 species
UACGGGGGGGGCAAGCGUUGUUCGGAAUUACUGGGCGUAAAGGGUUCGUAGGUGGCUCGCUAAGUCAGACGUGAAAUCCCUCAGCUUAACUGGGGAACUGCGUCUGAGACUGGAGAGCUUGAGUGCGGGAGAGGAAUGCGGAAUUCCAGGUGUAGCGGUGAAAUGCGUAGAUAUCUGGAGGAACACCGGUGGCGAAGGCGGCAUUCUGGACUGCAACUGACACUGAGACACGAAAGCGUGGGUAGCAAACAGG